ACGGGGAGGAGCCCAGAGCCUGAAUCAGUGUGUGUGUUAGUGGAAGCGUCUGGAAAGGCGCGCGAUACAGGGUGACAGCCCCGUACACAAAAAUGCACAUGCUGUGAGCUCGAUGAGUAGGGCGGGACACGUGGUAUCCUGUCUGAAUAUGGGGGGACCAUCCUCCAAGGCUAAAUACUCCUGACUGACCGAUAGUGAACCAGUACCGUGAGGGAAAGGCGAAAAGAACCCCGGCGAGGGGAGUGAAAAAGAACCUGAAACCGUGUACGUACAAGCAGUGGGAGCACAGAGCAAUCUGUGUGACUGCGUACCUUUUGUAUAAUGGGUCAGCGACUUAUAUUCUGUAGCAAGGUUAACCGAAUAGGGGAGCCGAAGGGAAACCGAGUCUUAACUGGGCGUUAAGUUGCAGGGUAUAGACCCGAAACCCGGUGAUCUAGCCAUGGGCAGGUUGAAGGUUGGGUAACACUAACUGGAGGACCGAACCGACUAAUGUUGAAAAAUUAGCGGAUGACUUGUGGCUGGGGGUGAAAGGCCAAUCAAACCGGGAGAUAGCUGGUUCUCCCCGAAAGCUAUUUAGGUAGCGCCUCGUGAAUUCAUCUCCGGGGGUAGAGCACUGUUUCGGCAAGGGGGUCAUCCCGACUUACCAACCCGAUGCAAACUGCGAAUACCGGAGAAUGUUAUCACGGGAGACACACGGCGGGUGCUAACGUCCGUCGUGAAGAGGGAAACAACCCAGACCGCCAGCUAAGGUCCCAAAGUCAUGGUUAAGUGGGAAACGAUGUGGGAAGGCCCAGACAGCCAGGAUGUUGGCUUAGAAGCAGCCAUCAUUUAAAGAAAGCGUAAUAGCUCACUGGUCGAGUCGGCCUGCGCGGAAGAUGUAACGGGGCUAAACCAUG
rnacentral:rRNA from 1 species